rnacentral:rRNA from 1 species
CCAAUAGCGUAUAUUAAAGUUGCUGCAGUUAAAAAGCUCGUAGUUGAAUUUCGGGACCAAUAUGUCGGUCGUGCCUCGGUACGUACUGGCAUCGUUGGUUUCUCCCUUCUGACGAACCAUGAUGUCAUUUAUUUGGUGUCGUGGGGAAUCAGGACUGUUACUUUGAAAAAAUUAGAGUGUUUAAAGCAGGCUCACGCUUGAAUACAUUAGCAUGGAAUAAUGAAAUAGGACGUUUGAUUCUAUUUUGUUGGUUUCUAGGAUCGACGUAAUGAUUAAUAGGGAUAGUUGGGGGCAUUAGUAUUCAAUUGUCAGAGGUGAAAUUCUUGGAUUUAUUGAAGACUAACUACUGCGAAAGCAUUUGCCAAGGAUGUUUUCAUUAAUCAAGAACGAAAGUUAGGGGAUCGAAGACGAUCAGAUACCGUCGUAGUCUUAACCAUAAAUUAUGCCGACUAGGGAUCGGAUGAUGUUAAUUUUUUAAUGACUCAUUCGGCGCCUUACG